rnacentral:rRNA from 1 species
CCUACGGGAGGCAGCAGUAGGGAAUCUUCCGCAAUGGGCGAAAGCCUGACGGAGCAACGCCGCGUGAGUGAGGAAGGUCUUCGGAUCGUAAAGCUCUGUUGCCAGGGAAGAAGUCUCGGGAGAGUAACUGCUCCCGGGGUGACGGUACCUGAGAAGAAAGCCCCGGCUAACUACGUGCCAGCAGCCGCGGUAAU